rnacentral:rRNA from 1 species
GACGAACGCUGGCGGCGUGCUUAACACAUGCAAGUCGAACGGAAAGGCCCUGCUUGCAGGGUACUCGAGUGGCGAACGGGUGAGUAACACGUGGGUGAUCUGCCCUGCACUUCGGGAUAAGCCUGGGAAACUGGGUCUAAUACCGGAUAGGAGCCAUUUUUAGUGUGAUGGUUGGAAAGUUUUUUCGGUGUAGGAUGAGCUCGCGGCCUAUCAGCUUGUUGGUGGGGUAAUGGCCUACCAAGGCGGCGACGGGUAGCCGGCCUGAGAGGGUGGACGGCCACCUUGGGACUUAGAUAAGGGCCAGGACCCCAACGGAGGCCGCAGUGGGGAAUAAUGGACAAUGGGCGGCAACCUGAUGCAGGCGAGCCGGGUGGGGGAUGACGGCCUUCGGGUUGUAAACUCCUUUCGCUAGGGACGAAGCUUUUUGUGACGGUACCUAGAUAAGAAGCACCGGCUAACUACGUG